UACAGAGGGGGCAAGCGUUAUUCGGAAUCAUUGGGCGUAAAGCGCACGUAGGCGGUCCAGCAAGUCGGGUGUGAAAGCCCUCGGCUUAACCGAGGAAGUGCAUUCGAAACUACUGGACUUGAGUACUGAAGAGGAUCGCGGAAUUCCCGGUGUAGAGGUGAAAUUCGUAGAUAUCGGGAGGAACACCAGUGGCGAAGGCGGCGAUCUGGGCAGAUACUGACGCUGAGGUGCGAAAGCGUGGGGAGCAAACAGG
rnacentral:rRNA from 1 species